ensembl:lncRNA B3GALT1-AS1 B3GALT1 antisense RNA 1
CUCAUUUUCUCUUGCUGCCGCCAGGUAAGAAGUGCCCUUCACCUUCUGAGGCCUCCCCAGCCAUGUGGAACUCACCCUCGCUGUUGGUCCCUGCAAGCUUCAAAGAAUAAAAGGCAAUGCAGAGAAGGUCCUCUCAGAUCUACCAUGUGAGUGCACACAUCCUUCCAGUCAACCAGAGAUUCUGUGCAUUUCUUCUGGAGAGAUCUGAUGCACAGUGAUAACUCGGCGAUACCUACACAAACUGUAGGCCAUUUUCCAGUGAUUGAAGCCACUGUUCUGGAAAGGAUGUAUGCCCAGCUUUCGAAGACACAGUCCCACAUAUACGUCUUCAAGGUGAAGCAGCCUUGUGUGGAGUGAGGUCUUGUAAAUGAGUUCAGCUACAUCGGCUGAAAAGAUGUAGCCAGUCCCCGAACAGAAAGGUGGGGUCGCUUUGGGACUCUGAGAUUCUCACGCAGGAAGUUUACUGGAGCAUGUUCUUAGGAACAACACCUGUCUCUAAUGUGAGAGGAGAAAGAAGAAGGCAAAGGGAGAGUCUGAACCUUGAUGCAGUCACAGCACAGACCUGAGCUGACCCUGCAGGGAGCUCUGGGGCUGGGAUGGUUCUGCAGAGUCCAGUGCGUGCCAGGCCAGCUUGCAUGGGCUUGGGCAGAGCUGGUGGUGCGCACUUCUUCCCAACUUCACAUUCAAUGACAUCAUGUUGAUAUCUUGAAACUGGUGGCACAUACGUUUAUAACACAAAAAUAGGCAAUGCUAGAAACCAGGGGUUCUCCCACUUCCCUUGCCUAGAAAGCUGGUUUGCCAGAAAAGCCACAGUGAAGAAAGAUUGCUUCCAUAUCUAUCUCUGUGCCCAAAUUCAUGCAAUAAAUUCUUCGCUGUU